rnacentral:rRNA from 1 species
GAUGAACGCUGACAGAAUGCUUAACACAUGCAAGUCAACUUGAACUUCGGUUUGGGUGGCGGACGGGUGAGUAACGCGUAAAGAACUUGCCUCACAGAUAGGGACAACAUUUGGAAACGAAUGCUAAUACCUGAUAUUAUGAUUAUAUGGCAUCGUAUAAUUAUGAAAGCUAUAUGCGCUGUGAGAGAGCUUUGCGUCCCAUUAGCUAGUUGGAGAGGUAACGGCUCACCAAGGCGAUGAUGGGUAGCCGGCCUGAGAGGGUGAUCGGCCACAAGGGGACUGAGACACGGCCCUUACUCCUACGGGAGGCAGCAGUGGGGAAUAUUGGACAAUGGACCAAGAGUCUGAUCCAGAAAUUCUGUGUGCACGAUGAAGUUUUUCGGAAUGUAAAGUGCUUUCAGUUGGGAAGAAAAAAAUGACGGUACCAACAGAAGAAGUGACGGCUAAAUACGUG